CGCGUAGGCGGCGGGGUAAGUCGGGUGUGAAAUCUCAGGGCUCAACCCUGAAACUGCACUCGAUACUGCUCUGCUUGAGGACUGGAGAGGAGACUGGAAUUCACGGUGUAGCAGUGAAAUGCGUAGAUAUCGUGAGGAAGACCAGUGGCGAAGGCGGGUCUCUGGACAGUUCCUGACGCUGAGGCGCGAAGGCCAGGGAGCAAACG
rnacentral:rRNA from 1 species